CAGACCCCACGCCGACAGGGCUGAGCACACACUCAGCGGGGCGUGCAAAUACAGCAAAUACAGGCGGGUUGGCUAUGUAGAAGUUUGAGGAUUCGUAAAUAUUGACAGUAAUUUUUCAACUGGAAAAUGUUUGUCAAAAGCUUAAGGUCAGUGGGUUUUUGAGAAUAGAAUUAAUUUUGCUGAACUCUGAAAUUGUUGAAUCAGGAUUACCGGUAGAAUGCCUUUCGUCUUGAAGAAUAUGAAUUUUGAUUUUUGGGACUGCCUGGGCAAGGUUCGGUGAGAAAGAGCCCGCCUUCACCAGAGGAUGUCGGGGCUGCCUGAGGGCUGGCAGACAGCCCAGCCUGUGGGGCGCAGGAUUCCAGGGUACGGCGGGAAGGCCUGCUGCCCUCAGAGCGCAGAGGUCCCAGUGAGGCCGUUGGGUUGGGACCGCCAGCUGAAGGCUUCUUUCAGAAACACUUCAGAGAGAGAGCACCUGCCACCUUCCCGCCAGGCGGUGCACGCGUGACUCUCCCCUGCUCCUGGAACCUAAGCGGUUGUCGCAACCACUCCAACCCAUGAGAGGUGUCCGUAGGAGGUGGAUGUUUGUUCACAUCAGUUUGAGUUUCUGGUUGGUUCCUGAAAACCUGGUGGUUAGUCAGAGGGAAAGAGCAUUGUUGCAGAUGGGCAGAUCUGACUGACAGGCAUUGUAGCAGACAGUGGGGCAGGUCUGACUGACUGGCAUUGUAGCAGACAGUGGGGCAUGUCUGACUGACUGGCAUUGUAGCAGACAGUGGGGCAGGGUUGACUGACCGGCAUUGUUGCAGACAGUGGGGCAGGUCUGACUGACUGGCAUUGUAGCAGACAGUGGGUCAGGUCUGGCUGACUGCCAUUGUAGCAGACAGUGGGGCAGGUCUGACUGACUGGCAUUGUUGUAGACAGUGGGGCAGGGUUGACUGACUGGCAUUGUAGCAGACAGUGGGACAGGUAUGACUGACCGGCAUUGUUGCAGACAGUGGGGCAGGUCUGACUGGCAUUGUUGCAGACAGUGGGGCAGGGUUGACUGACUGGCAUUGUAGCAGACAGUGGGGCAUGUCUGACUGACUGGCAUUGUAGCAGACAGAGGGGCAGGUCUGACUGACUGGCAUUGUAGCAGACAGUGGGGCAGGUCUGACUGGCAUUGUAGCAGACAGUGGGGCAGGGUUGACUGACUGGCAUUGUUGCAGACAGUGGGGCAGGUCUGGCUG